AGAGGGAGAAAAGGUAAGGAUAGAAGGAGUGAUGAUGAAGAUGAUCGUAAAGACAGAAGAAGGGAAAGAAAGAAUGACAGAAGUGACAAUGAUGAUGAUAAAUAUAAAAGGAGAAGGAAUAGGAACAAAGAUGAAAAGAAUGAUGAUGAAGAUGACAGGAGACAAGAUUAUAAAAGGGACAGAAAGAGGAAUGGUGAUCAUAAAGAGAGAAGAAGAACUGAUAAUGAUGUGUUAAAGCAUAAAGUUGAUCAAAAUGGGGAUAAAGAAAAACCUGAUGAAGGUGCAAGAUUCAAAAAGCUUGCUGAUUUGCAAGAAAGCAUGACUAAUUUAGGAAAGAGUGGAGGGGUGUAUAUUCCACCAUUCAAGUUGGCCCGUAUGAUGAGUGAAUUUCAAGAUAAAAGCAGUAUGGAAUAUCAAAGAAUGACAUGGGAUGCAUUAAGGAAGAGUAUAAAUGGUUUGGUCAACAAGGUCAACGACACAAACAUCAAAAACAUCAUCCCAGAGUUGUUUGCUGAAAAUCUGAUAAGAGGAAGAGGAUUGUUUUGUCGAUCAUGCAUGAAGUCUCAAAUGGCAUCUCCUCGUUUUACAGACGUUUUUUCAGCUCUGGUUGCUGUUGUAAACAGUGUAGAUGACAAGGGCAUAUAAGAGAAAUGACAAGGUGUGAAUUGUUUCAUCUAUCUGACAUCUUUUAUGAGAAUCAGUGUAUUUUAUAUUUAUACUGACACCAAGUGUUUUCACAGCCUCAAUUACUUGCUGUUGUUAAGUUUAUAGCUCAUUUGGUCAACCAACAUGUAGUUCAUGAGCUUAUUGCUCUUGAACUACUCACAACUCUACUGGAGAAUACCACUGAUGACAGUGUAGAUGUUGUUGUUGGUUUUGUUACAGAAUGUGGAUCAAUACUUCAGGAUCUAUCUCCCCGAGGCUUGCAUGGUGAGUAUUUUUUAAUCUUAUUUGUCUUCUAAAAGUACAAGCAUAUUGUUCUUUUCAUUUGUCAUUGUUGACAUUAUUGUAACACACACGUUUUGAAAUUGUGUUUUAUAAUGAAUAAUAUUGUGAAAUACUUUUUUAAGUUCUAACUGAUGGUUCUUACUAUAAAUGAAGUAAAACUAUGCUUAUAAUCAUUCAGAAAGUAUUGGAAGUCUUAUGAGAUUCCAAUCAAACGUCAAAUGGUAAAAUUUAACGAAAAUAUAAAUUUUGGAAUAAGUAAAAUUUUAUUAUUGAAAAUUUUAGAUAAUCUCGUUAGAAACUUGUAGGCGAAAACCUCGUCGAAAUCCGAGUUAUAACGAAGAAGUUAUGACCAAUCGAAGAUCCGCGACAAAACCGACACUGUGCGCCGAAUGACGUAAAAAGUGAGUUUUUGAUAAACUAUUUUUUAGCCUUAGUGAUCUAAAUUAAAGUCGUAGUAUUCAUUAAACUGAGAAGUUCGAUAAAAAUAACGUCAAAAUCUGACUUCGUAUGAGGAAGUUAUGAUUUUUCUAAGUUUCAGAAUAGCAGUAGACAACUAAAAACUCGAAUUUUAGAUCGAGUGAUAUUUAGCCAACAUAACCUAAACGAGAAUUGAAGGUCUCGUCAUUUGUAGUACAACGGUAAAAAGUCUAACGAAAACGGAUGUCGGAUGAAGAAGUUAUGAAUUUUUAACGGAUUUUCCAGUCCCGGUCUGUUAAAAAUAAUAAUAUUAAAAUAAAUUCAAAAUUAGCUGAUGAAGUCUAAAUGAAAGUUGUAGAGCAUAAUUUUACCUAUGCGUGCGUAUAAAGAACAUCAAAAAUGGAGCCUGUAUGCGAAAGUUAUAGAUUUUAGAAGUUCGGAGCACAAAAAUCGAAAUAAAUGCAAAAUCCGAAAAAAAUUCGCAAGGCUCAGGUUCGGCCACGUCAUUGGAUCCUCCCUGCUCGCCCCGUGUCACCGGUUCCUCGCAUCCGACGCGUGUCGCGAUGACUCCUCGCAUCCGAGGCGCUGGACUAAUCCGAAGCCGACGCGUGUUGCGCCAGUGUCCGAGCUUCGCUUGAGCCGCGUGUCUUUCUCCCUCGCUGCCACCUAGUUGCUGCUGACGCGCCCUUAUGAUCCGGCCUCGCAUCCUCGCCCUAUAAAUACAAGGCAUGCGAGCCUUGCCGAGUAAAAUGGAUAAAUUGCCAAUUUUUCACCCUUUCUCAAUAUUUUUAGUAUUUUGACUUCCCCCGAAGCCCCGAUAACAUUUCUAACACCCGAAACACGCCCCGAAGUGCCCGUGAAGCCCGGAAAAUUUAUCUUUUUGGUUUUGAAGCUCUACCUUCGCAGAGCCUGGUUUUCAAUAAAGCUCCCGGUUUUCAACAUAGAAAGUCAUAUUUAAAGCCGAAGUGCUGUCCAAAUUACUAUUUUGACCCCCGUUUAAUUCAAGGUGAGUUCAAUAUAUAGGAACAAUUGGAUGUUAUGUGUUAUAUUUGUUAUGUGCUUUUCAGUAUUAUUAUUCUAGGUUAUUUUCCCGUAUUAUUUUAUUCGCUAUUUUUAUAGAAAAAGUAAUACCUUUGACCAUGUGAUCAGUGAAAGGACUUAGAUUCACAUUGGUACUGGUACGUAGCCUCUGACCAUGUAGAGCAUGUCUCCGUAAGAGAAUGACUUCUAUUCUAUGGCAUUGGCAAAUGGUUAGACAGGGCUAUAAGCCUGAAAUCUACCAAAAUGUUAAUCCGAAGUUGUAUGUCUUCUAUGCCAUUUGGGUCGAAGCUUUAUUGAUGUAUAUCAAGUAUGGAAAUUGAUAUGUCUCAUUGAUUGUAUAUCUUUGAAUCAAGUCGUUGAUUGAUAUGAAAAGUUUGUCACAUGAUUCACAUAUGCCUUUGUUGUUCCUAAUUUCUCUUUGCUUCUGCCAUAUUGAAGUAUAUAUAUGGCAUAACGUUAUAUUGUAUCUAUUAUUGAACUCACUAAGCGUCACCGCUUACCCUAUUAAUGUUUAACAAUUACAAGAGAUAAGUAAUCAGUAUGAUCAUAUAUUGUUCGAAGAUUUAGAAUAGUUUGUAAUUGUACUUGUGUACUUCAGUUUAGGUUUGUAUAAAUUAAAAUAUCCUGGGUAGUUAUGUAAUAUAUAACACUUUGUAAUAGUCCCUUUCUAUCCAGUAGUUUGUAACCUCUUUAUCAAUGCAAAAUAUUGUUUUUAUGAAUAUGCAAGUAGCAUGUUUUGGAGUAACUAUAUUGCCAAAUACGAAAGUUAGGGUCUUUCAAUCAUUUAACAUAUUCAACACUCUGUGUACUAAAUUAUUCAGGAAUCUUUGAGCGAUUUCGUAGGAUUCUUCAUGAGGGAGAAAUAGACAAAAGGGUGCAGUUCUUGAUUAAAGGUCUUUUUGCAUUAAGAAAAGCCAAGUUUCAGGUUUAAAAUCUAAAAUCUUAAAAUCUUGUCAUAUCUUUAUUACUAUUUACAACUAAAAUAUAUUUUUAAUCUCCACCCAUGUUAUGUUUGCUUUACUACACAGGGGCAUCCAGCUGUUAGUCCAGAGUUGGAUCUUGUUAAGCUGGAAGAUCAGUUGACACAUGAAGUAUCCCUUCUAGAUAAAAUCGAUCCGGAAUUGCCCUAGGUACAUAAUUUUUUUAUUUUAUUUAAAAAUGAAUUUUCUAUUAUGAAUGUUUGGGUAUAAACAAUAUUUGUUGUGCAUAGAUUUUUUCAAGAUGGAUCCUGACUUCAUUGAGAAUGAAAAGAAGUUUGAAGACCUGAAGAAAACAAUUCUUGGCGACGAAUCUUCAGAAAAAGAAGAAGGUGUUGGGGAGGAUUCAGAUGAUGAUGAUGAUGAAGAUGAAUCUUCAGAAGAAGAAGAAGACGAAGAGCAAAUGAGAAUCAAAGAUGAAACAGAAACAAAUCCUGUCAAUCUUCGAGGAACAAUCUACUUAACAAUCAUGUCAAGUGUUGACUUUGAAGAAGCCGGUCAUAAACUCCUCAAAAUCAAACUCGAACCCGGACACGAGGUAAGAAAAAAAUAUUUUGUUGGUACGAUGGAAUGGAAUCGUUGAUUCCAUUCCAUUCCAAAUUUGACAGAAGUAAAAGUUUGGUUUUGGUUGUACAGAUGGAGCUAUGCAUAAUGCUACUGGAAUGUUGUAGUCAAGAGAGAACAUAUCUUCGAUACUAUGGUCUUUUAGGUCAAAGGUUUUGCAUGAUCAACAAAGUCUAUCAAGAAAAUAUUGAAAAAUGUUUUGUUCAACAAUACUCCAUGAUCCACCGCCUCGAGACUAACAAACUCAGAAUGUUGCGAAAUUCUUCGCGCAUCUCCUCGGGACGGAUGCCUUGCCUUGGCAUGUCUUGGCUUACAUUCGUCUCACUGAAGAAGACACCACUUCCUCUUCCAGGUAACUUCAUUUUUACUUUUUAAUUAUUAUUAUAAUAAUUAUUAAAAAUACCUUUUUACCCCUUUUCUUUUAUUGUACGACAGGAGCUGUCUGGGCAUCUUGGGAUUCGGCUGUUGAACGAGCGGUUGAGUGAGUCGGUGAUGCAAGAGGAUUUUGAGUCGAUUUUCCCGAGAGAUAAUCCCAAGAACACGUUGUUUUCAAUCAAUUUUUUUUACUUCCAUUGGGCUUGGUGGGAUUACUGAGAAUUUGAGGGAGUAUCUCAAGAACAUGCCUCGUCUUAUUAUGCAACAAAAGCCUGCGUCGGAAUCGGAUCCGGUUCCGGUUCUGGUUCCGAUUUCAGUUCUGAUUCUGAUUCCGGUUCCGAUUCUAGUUCGGGGUCUGAGUCGGAGAGUGAGAGUGAGACUAAUCAUAAGAGCAGCAAGCGCCGAAAGAAACGUUAGAUGCUUUACAUGUAUUGUUAUGUUGAGAAGAAAAUGAAUAUCUGGUUUUUGGUAUCUUGUAAGAUGUUAAUGACUAGUUGUUUUUGGAGGUUUGUUUUAUUUGAUUGUAACGUUAUAUGAUUUUCAACAAACUGGAUCUCAAUGUGUAAAAUCUGUAAUGGUUUUGUGAUUUUGUUUUUAAAGAAAUUUUUUAUGGGAUGUUUGAGAGAUCAAUUUGUUGAGGUUCAUACAUGGAUCAACACAACUCACAACCCAAUGACAUGUUAAAACUAAAGUUCCUGAUGCUAUCCAUCAACAAAGUAUUUAUGCAAUCAAUAAAUAUUGGAAUUUUAGAUUUUUUCUUAAUAUUUCAGGAAUUUUAGCCUAUGUUGUCUUGUGGGCAAUAAUGCUAAAACUGAUUUAAUUAAAAAAAAUAAAUUAACUAUUUAGCGGGGAGUUGAAUAGGAUUGCAAAAAGGUAAAAUGAAAUUCUCAUUAUUAUUACGUUUAUGUUUAUGUCGUUGAUAUAUUAUGUAUGAGGAUUUAACCUUCAUUCAUUCGUUUAAUAAGAAAACUGAUAGAGACUUUAUUUUUAUAAUAAUAAAAUAAAAUAAAAAUUAGUAUCAUUUUUUUUGAUAAUGUGACAACCCAAAGUUUGCUCCAUCGCCGUAACUCGUUUCCGUCCAUAAAAUUAAUAUUUUUCGAAUUGUUUCCGUUUAAGCUUUUAAAUUAAGUCAUUAUUUUUGAGGCUUCUAUUAUGAAUUAAUUGGUAUCCAAACACGUUAGAAACUCAUGAAAACAUCCCAAAUUAUUAUUUAGAAAAUUAUUAGUUACGACAACGUUGAGUUACGGCAAAUUAAUCGGGUACGACCAAAAGCUCCGUUUAACGUCGGUAUCGGGUAGAAUUUAUCCGGGCCAUAAACUCAACCCCUAUAUAAGGGAUUGAGUGACAUCAUUUUGAAGCUUUUUCUCUCUCUUAAAACACUUUCUCUCACUACUCUCUCUCUAAAAACUCGAGUUUGAUCCAAAAACCCCAUUUCAAGCUUCAAUUUGGUAAGUAAUCUAUCCUAGCUUGUUGUUAAGCUUUCUUAUCAUGGAAAUCUAUGUUUGAAUCACCCAAAACACUCAAGAACAUGUGUUUAUGGUUUAAGAACCCUUCCAAAACCAUGAACACCCCUAAAGAGGGUUUUGAAGCCCUAAAACCCUUCCAAAUCACUCCUAGUGCUUAGAUAUGGCUUAGAAACUUGCAUGCAUGAGCUUAGGACCCCAAAAUCUCACCAAUUGAGGUAUGGACAUGAGUUUACGGCCCAAGAACAUUCUUGGACCUUAAACCCUCAUUCAUGGACCAUAAACACCUUUUUAAGGUGUUAAAUUACCCUUAAACACCUCCAAAGGCUUCCAUGAGCUUCCAUGAGUGCAUAGAACCUUAUAUUCCUUCAUGAGAUGCACCAAAACAUACACAAAUGAAUCAAACUUGAGUUUAUGGCCCAAGAACACUAUUGGACCGUAAACACCCCUCCUUAGACCAUAAACACCCCCAAAGGGUGUUAAAGUGCCUUUAACACCUUAUAUGGCUUGGAAUUGGGCCUAGAACUUUGUAUGCUUAACCUACAACCACUAAAACCCAUGAAUCAUGGAAAACAUGAGUUUACGGUUGUAAACUCAUGUGUUUAAGGUAGUAAACUCCCCAAUAACAUCUUCAUAAACCAUAAACUCCUUAUCCAAGGUCAUUUCAAGUCCCGAUCACUUCCUAAGCCAUGGAAUCAACCCUAGAACCUUCCCGUGUGCAUUCUAAGACCAUUUGGCAUCCAAGAACACACCACCCAUGAGUUUACGGCCGUAAACUCAUGGGGAUAUGAUCAUUGGACCAUAAAAUCCCCUAAGGGCUUAUUCUUGAAGAGUAAACUCCAUAAUUAGGCCUUACACACCCUUAGAUGCCACCUGGGUCACUCCGAACACUUGAUUUGAAAUGUUUUCGCGCCUCAAAUUGUUUAUUCAUUUUAAAUAGUAGAUCAAGGUAUAAUUAGAUACAUUUUAUGUAUCUCUUCAUAUUACAUAGGAAUCUUGUGCGUUUGCAAGCCCCGAACUGACGUUUAGCAUCCGAACCGACACGUUCCUCGACUGGUGAGUUCAUACCCCUACUCUUUUUCCGUGUUUUUCAAAUGUUUUCAAGGGGAAUACAAGCAAAAUUACAAGGAAAUCUUGUACUCAAACUUAUUAUUUCAGUUCAAAUGUUUAUAUUCUGUAUGUUUUUAAUAUCGAAAACCGUAUUAACCAAUAAUUCGAAUUGCAGAGUUAGCGUUCAGAUUAAUCAUAGAUUUCUUGAUAAAGUGUUAUAAUCUAUGUUAUAUCUCAUAAUCUACGAAGAAUUCAUACUAAUCAUUAAUUAGGAAUAUUACUAAUAAGAUACGCCCUCGGAUAGUAAUAGAAUGAUGAAAGUACAACUAGGAAUAAAACGAAUACGAAUAAUACGAAUACGAAUAAAAGGAAUACGAAAGUACGCCUUUGGAUAUCGACAGAGUUUCGAAAAUACUGCUAAUUAAAGUAGAUAUUCGACAUUCGAGUGUAGGAUAACUAGGAUAACAAAAUACCUAAUUAAUAUAACAAGUAUGAUAGAUACUAGGGCAUAGCAUUCUGAACCAAGAACUAACCAUGACUUUAGGAAAAUAAGGGUUUUUCCUGGGAUAACGAAUUGUUCCUAACGAAAUUGUAGAAUAAACGAAUAACGAAUUCUCUUAUAGGAAAAUUGAUGGGUUUGAGCCAUAAGAACAUUCAUAUGUGCACAUACAAACCCUAAUGCUUGGAUCUAGGUUUCUCUAAUUGAACAUGCAUUGCAUCCAAGACUUCUAAUGAUAAUUCUAGUAUAAUAACAUAAGAAAUCAAAUUUGGAAGAUUACCUUGAAUCACUUGCUUGAAUCUUCUUGUCCUUGGAGCUUUAGAGUCACAAGUGUCACUCCUCUAAUGGCUUACAAACACCAACUUAGCAAGAGGAUUAUUAGAGAGAGAGGGAGGAGGGCAAGAAAUCGUCCAAGGUUUCUUCAAAGGCAAGAGUGCCGAUUUCCUUGACCCCAAGGGUCUAUUUAUACUAGUGAGGCUCCUAGUGUUUCACCCUUAAACCCUAAUUGGAUAACUUAGGCCCUAAGCAAUCCAAUCUCCUUAUGAUAAGCCUUGGACGAUUUCUAGGUCUAUCCUAACCUUAAAAUCGUACACCCCUUAUCUAUUAAGGAUAAUAGCCUAAAGUACAACUAUCAUACAAUUGACAGUUUAUGCCCCUUUAUUCAAUUAAUCUCUUUAAGUCACCAAAUUAAUUCCUAAUUAAUUUAUGACUNGGGCCAUAAACUCAACCCCUAUAUAAGGGAUUGAGUGACAUCAUUUUGAAGCUUUUUCUCUCUCUUAAAACACUUUCUCUCACUACUCUCUCUCUAAAAACUCGAGUUUGAUCCAAAAACCCCAUUUCAAGCUUCAAUUUGGUAAGUAAUCUAUCCUAGCUUGUUGUUAAGCUUUCUUAUCAUGGAAAUCUAUGUUUGAAUCACCCAAAACACUCAAGAACAUGUGUUUAUGGUUUAAGAACCCUUCCAAAACCAUGAACACCCCUAAAGAGGGUUUUGAAGCCCUAAAACCCUUCCAAAUCACUCCUAGUGCUUAGAUAUGGCUUAGAAACUUGCAUGCAUGAGCUUAGGACCCCAAAAUCUCACCAAUUGAGGUAUGGACAUGAGUUUACGGCCCAAGAACAUUCUUGGACCUUAAACCCUCAUUCAUGGACCAUAAACACCUUUUUAAGGUGUUAAAUUACCCUUAAACACCUCCAAAGGCUUCCAUGAGCUUCCAUGAGUGCAUAGAACCUUAUAUUCCUUCAUGAGAUGCACCAAAACAUACACAAAUGAAUCAAACUUGAGUUUAUGGCCCAAGAACACUAUUGGACCGUAAACACCCCUCCUUAGACCAUAAACACCCCCAAAGGGUGUUAAAGUGCCUUUAACACCUUAUAUGGCUUGGAAUUGGGCCUAGAACUUUGUAUGCUUAACCUACAACCACUAAAACCCAUGAAUCAUGGAAAACAUGAGUUUACGGUUGUAAACUCAUGUGUUUAAGGUAGUAAACUCCCCAAUAACAUCUUCAUAAACCAUAAACUCCUUAUCCAAGGUCAUUUCAAGUCCCGAUCACUUCCUAAGCCAUGGAAUCAACCCUAGAACCUUCCCGUGUGCAUUCUAAGACCAUUUGGCAUCCAAGAACACACCACCCAUGAGUUUACGGCCGUAAACUCAUGGGGAUAUGAUCAUUGGACCAUAAAAUCCCCUAAGGGCUUAUUCUUGAAGAGUAAACUCCAUAAUUAGGCCUUACACACCCUUAGAUGCCACCUGGGUCACUCCGAACACUUGAUUUGAAAUGUUUUCGCGCCUCAAAUUGUUUAUUCAUUUUAAAUAGUAGAUCAAGGUAUAAUUAGAUACAUUUUAUGUAUCUCUUCAUAUUACAUAGGAAUCUUGUGCGUUUGCAAGCCCCGAACUGACGUUUAGCAUCCGAACCGACACGUUCCUCGACUGGUGAGUUCAUACCCCUACUCUUUUUCCGUGUUUUUCAAAUGUUUUCAAGGGGAAUACAAGCAAAAUUACAAGGAAAUCUUGUACUCAAACUUAUUAUUUCAGUUCAAAUGUUUAUAUUCUGUAUGUUUUUAAUAUCGAAAACCGUAUUAACCAAUAAUUCGAAUUGCAGAGUUAGCGUUCAGAUUAAUCAUAGAUUUCUUGAUAAAGUGUUAUAAUCUAUGUUAUAUCUCAUAAUCUACGAAGAAUUCAUACUAAUCAUUAAUUAGGAAUAUUACUAAUAAGAUACGCCCUCGGAUAGUAAUAGAAUGAUGAAAGUACAACUAGGAAUAAAACGAAUACGAAUAAUACGAAUACGAAUAAAAGGAAUACGAAAGUACGCCUUUGGAUAUCGACAGAGUUUCGAAAAUACUGCUAAUUAAAGUAGAUAUUCGACAUUCGAGUGUAGGAUAACUAGGAUAACAAAAUACCUAAUUAAUAUAACAAGUAUGAUAGAUACUAGGGCAUAGCAUUCUGAACCAAGAACUAACCAUGACUUUAGGAAAAUAAGGGUUUUUCCUGGGAUAACGAAUUGUUCCUAACGAAAUUGUAGAAUAAACGAAUAACGAAUUCUCUUAUAGGAAAAUUGAUGGGUUUGAGCCAUAAGAACAUUCAUAUGUGCACAUACAAACCCUAAUGCUUGGAUCUAGGUUUCUCUAAUUGAACAUGCAUUGCAUCCAAGACUUCUAAUGAUAAUUCUAGUAUAAUAACAUAAGAAAUCAAAUUUGGAAGAUUACCUUGAAUCACUUGCUUGAAUCUUCUUGUCCUUGGAGCUUUAGAGUCACAAGUGUCACUCCUCUAAUGGCUUACAAACACCAACUUAGCAAGAGGAUUAUUAGAGAGAGAGGGAGGAGGGCAAGAAAUCGUCCAAGGUUUCUUCAAAGGCAAGAGUGCCGAUUUCCUUGACCCCAAGGGUCUAUUUAUACUAGUGAGGCUCCUAGUGUUUCACCCUUAAACCCUAAUUGGAUAACUUAGGCCCUAAGCAAUCCAAUCUCCUUAUGAUAAGCCUUGGACGAUUUCUAGGUCUAUCCUAACCUUAAAAUCGUACACCCCUUAUCUAUUAAGGAUAAUAGCCCAAAGUACAACUAUCAUACAAUUGACAGUUUAUGCCCCUUUAUUCAAUUAAUCUCUUUAAGUCACCAAAUUAAUUCCUAAUUAAUUUAUGACUUAUAUUAAUCAAAUAACAAUAUAAUUAUUCCCUAUAUUAUUCUCAUAAUAUAUUAAUAAUAUUUCUUCUCUCAUUAUAAAUCAUCCUGUCAAGUUGCUAUGGUGAAGGCAACCCAAAAGGACCAUGCACAACCGGGUCAAAUACUUGCCAAAUAUAGUUGCAGCCUUAGACACUAUUCCAACAGUCUCCCACUUGGAUAAGUCUAGUAACUAUAUAUACAAGUACAAUCCGGUUUGCAAUCGUAGCUCUCAAAGACGCUGUCAAACUCUGAUCUAAUCAAUCUUGUCCUUUAGAUAAGGGAUCGUACAGUCCUCUGUUAGAUAUCAUGCUGACAAUCCUAUGGAAUGGUUAGUCAAGCAUUUAGGUUUCUCGAUCUCUGAUUUAUUUGACAUAGAACUUAAUCGAACACAUCAAUUCAGUUCUGACCGGGCCCGGCACAUAAGUCAAAUCAAAUCAUCGAGCGGCCGAGAUAUCGCUUUUACCUUCUUAGAUAAAAGUUACAGAUAAACUUCGACUUAUAUGCAUUUACUUAUUCAUUAACCAACUAUACACAACAAUACGUUUUAUAACACCAAGUUACUGAUGCGUUUUCGUAUUAUCAAUGUACAAUCAAUUAACAAAUAAUAAACCAUAUAUCUAGGUUUUAAGACUAUAUGAUAUUAUCGUCUUGCGAUCACCUUUUAUAUCGUAUUCCAUAAGGUGAUUCCAGCAAGCGCGGGUUUAUUCCAAUGCUCAAAACUAGUUCAUAAGCACUCAUGAACGUUGCAGCAAUCCUUUGCUAUGUCUAACACCAUUUAGACAAUCUACACACCAAUUCAUGACAAUCUUCAUUCAUAUCUACUCCCAACAUAUGAACGAUUGUGGACCAUUUGAACAAUUCGAUUAUUCCUAAUAAACUCAAUUAUUCUGGAAGUCAAAACAUGCAAAGUGAAACAAUAGCUAAACAAUUAACAUAAGAUAGUAACAUUACUCAUAAAUAAAACUCCUUUAUUUAAUCAUCAAAUGUCAAUUACAUUUAUCUAUUACACGUUUCUAAUACUAUCUAAUCUAUGCUAAUAUCAUCCUUCAGCCCAAUACUCCUAGCAUGCUGCAAGUGCUUAACCCUACUCAGUCCCUUCGUAAGCGGAUCUGCUGGGUUAUCUUCUGAUGAUAUCCUCUUCACUACGAGUUGUCCUUCUUCUACACGAUGUCUAAUGAAGUGAUACUUUCUGUCGAUAUGUCUUGAUCUACCAUGAUCCCUCGGUUCCUUGGUCAAGGCAACCGCGCCUUCGUUAUCACAGAAAAUCUCCAUUGGCUCCUUUAUGGCAGGUACAACUCCAAGAUCACCGAUGAAGUUCUUUAGCCAUAUUGCCUCCUUCGACGCUUCGCUCGCUGCAAUGUACUCUGAUUCGCACGUUGAAUCAGCUACGGUUUCCUGCUUGGAACUCUUCCAUGUCACUGCUCCUCCAUUUAGGGUAAAGACCCAGCCCGACUGCGAACGGUAGUUGUCCCUGUCGGUCUGAAAACUGGCGUCACUAUACCCUCGCACCUUCAAGUCAUCACUCCCUCCGAGGACUAAGAACCAUUCCUUCGUCCUCCGAAGGUACUUAAGGAUAUUCUUCACCGCAAUCCAAUGUGCUUUGCCAGGAUUCCCUUGAUAUCUGCUAACCAUGCUCAAAGCGAAGGCUACAUCAGGGCGAGUACAAGUCAUAGCGUACAUGAUUGAGCCAACUGCGGAAGCGUAUGGUACUCGGCUCAUUUCUGCUAUCUCAGCUUCGGUACUCGGACUUUGAGUCUUACUCAAUUUGGCAUUACUUUGUAUCGGUAGUUCUCCCUUCUUUGAGUUUUCCAUACUAAAACGUUUUAGUACCUUCUCUAAGUAAGUAUUCUGACUAAGUCCAAUUAGUCUCUUACUUCUUUCUCUUACUAUCCUUAUUCCCAAAAUGUAAGAAGCCUCUCCGAGGUCCUUCAUAGCGAAGCACUUCCCGAGCCAGGACUUAACCUCCUGCAGAGUCGGGAUGUCGUUUCCUAUGAGUAAUAUGUCAUCGACAUAUAGAACGAGGAAGCUUACUAUACUCCCACUGGCUUUGACAUAUACACAUGAUUCAUCUUCGCUCCGUACAAAUCCAAACUCUUUGACUUUCUCAUCGAAGCAAAGAUUCCAUCUGCGAGACGCUUGCUUAAGUCCAUAAAUGGACUUCUCAAGCUUACACACUCUAUUUGGAUGCUUCGAAUCAACAAAACCCUAUGGCUGAGCCAUGUAAACAUCCUCAGCCAACUUCCCAUUAAGGAAAGCGGUCUUGACAUCCAUUUGCCAAAUCUCAUAAUCAUGAAAUGCGGCAAUUGCUAGCAUCACUCUAAUAGAUUUUAUCUUCGCAACUGGUGAGAAGGUCUCAUCAUAGUCAACUCCGGGAGUUUGAGUAAAGCCCUUCGCAACCAAUCGCGCCUUAUAUGUGUGUACAUUUCCAUCCACGUCGGUCUUCUUCUUGAAGAUCCAUUUGCACCCAACGGUCUUACGUCCGGGCACAUUAUCAACCAAAUUCCAAACUUGGUUGUCAUACAUGGACUGGAUCUCGCUGUCCAUUGCCUCUUUCCAUUUUUCAGACUCCGGGCCUGCCAUGGCUUCCUUAAAGCUAUUAGGUUCAUCUAGAUUUACUAGUGUACCAUCACUAAUAUACGUGUCCCCUUCGGUAGUAAUAUGAAAACCAUAAAACUGGGGUUGAACUCUAACUCUUUCGGAACGUCUAAGAGGUAAGGAUUGGUUAAUAGGUUCAACCGGAGUUUCCUCCUCGGGUUGAGUGCCAGCGGUAGAGGUUCCUUCAUCUAUCGAUUCUUGAAUCUCUUCAAGCUUGAUUUGCCUCCCAUUGUCUCCUUGGCUUAUGAGUUCUAAAUUGUUUCUUCUUUCAAAUGCCUAUUUAUUCUUAGUUUGACUCAAAGACAAAUCUUUCUUCAUAUUUGCUCUCGGAAAACUCCUAUCCUCGCAACGAAGACUACAUUGUCACUCGGUCUAUAGAAGAGAUAUCCAAAGGAUUUCUGCGGGUAAACGAUGAAAAUACAUCGCUCACUACGAGGUUCGAGCUUGUCGUGAGUAUCUCGUCUUACGAAAGCCUCGCAACCCCAAACCUUGAUAUGUGCUAACGAGGGAGCUUUCCCUGUCCACAUCUCGUGAGGUGUUUUGGCAACCUUCUUAGUAGGGACUCGGUUAAGGAUAUGGGCGGCAGUCUCUAAGGCAUACCCCUAGAAUAGGAUAGAUAGUGAAGCACGAAUCAUCAUAGAGCGGAACAUGUCUAACAAGGUUCGAUUACGCCUUUCUGCCACACCAUUCAACUGCGGUGUCCUAGGCGGUGUCAAUUGUGAAACUAUUCCACACUCUUUAGAUAGUCGUGGAGUUCAAGACUUAGGUACUCUCCUCCUCGAUCAGAUCGAAGCAUCUUGAUUUUCCUGCCCAAUUGAUUCUCCACUUCAUUUUUGAACUCUUUGAACUUUUCAAACGUUUCUGACUUUUGCUUGAUUAAGUAGAUAUACCCAUAUCUACUAUAGUCAUCGGUAAAAGUCACAUAGAAGCGGUUCCCAUCCUUCGUGGUUGAUCUAAACGGUCCACAUACAUCGGUAUGUAUUAGGUCCAAUAGACCCUCACCCCUUUCACAUGUACUUGUGAAGGGUGACUUAGUCAUCUUUCCAAGUAAACAAGACUCGCAUGUGUCAUCUUCCCUAAGGUCGAAUGACUCCAACACUCCAUCCUUUUGGAGUUGGGCUAUGUGCUUCUUGUUGACAUGUCCAAGACGACAAUGCCACAAGGAUGCUUUAUCCAUACUAUUGGAAGAAUCCAUGUAUAAAACAUCAUUUCCUAGGUUAUCUACAAUCAUAACAGUUUCAUAAAUUCCAUUACAUGGCAUUACCUCAAAAUAUAAGACACCAUUUAGAUAAGCAUAAAUAGAACCAUUCUCAUUAUUAAAAGAAAAUCUAAAUCCUUGUCUAAAAAAACCAUGAAAUGAAAUGAUGUUUCUUGCCAUUUCUGGCGAAUAGCAACAAUUGCUCAAAUCUAAACAUAAUCCAUUCCUAAGCACUAGAGAAUACACUCCAAUCUUGGUCACAGGCGACGAUCUUCUGUUCCCCAUGAUUAGAUUUAUUCUUCCACGCUCCACAUCCCUAUUUCUUCUUAGUCCCUCAAUUCAGAACAAAUAUGGUAACCACAACCGAUAUCGAGGACCCAAGAAAUAGCAUGAGAUGAAUCAUUAGAUUUAAUUGUAUAAAUACCUGCGAAAGAUGACUUGAUCUUUCCUUCCCUGAUAGCUUGCAGGUAUCACUCUGCCUCCUUUGGGUUUGGGUUGGGCUUAGCAGGAUCAACUUUGGUCCCACUAGAAGAGGAACCAUCUCGGGACUUUCCCUUGCGGUGGCUCUUAGACGAAGCCUUCCUCUUCUUGCCUCUUCCCUGCCCAAUGGCCAAAACAGGAGUAACGGGUGGAUUGGGAGUGGGUGCAACAGACUUGCCCUUGAGGUUGCUCUUAACAACCCUAAGGAGACCUUGGAGCUUACUUAGGGUGACCUCUUCCUUGUUCAUGUGGUAGGUCAUCCUAAAUUGGUUGUAACACGGAGGCAAGGAGUGAAGGACCAUGUCGAUAACCAAGUCUUCCCCAAAGUCAACAUUCAACUUGCGAAGACGAUCGACAUACCUUUGCAUCUUUUGCAAGUGUACGGUUAGAGAUUCUCCAUGUCCCAUUUUAGCGGAGAUCAUGUUAGUGAAAAUCUCGUAACGCUCCUGCCUCGCGUUUUGAUGGUAUCUCUCCAAUAAGUCUUGAUGCAUAUCGUACAGGUACAUGUCCUCAUAGGACUUUUGGAAUUCGGCGUUCAUUGUGGCUAUCAUGAUGCAAUGAACCUUCGUUGCAUCACGCUCAUGAGUUUCAAAAGCAGCCAUUUCAGCUGGAGUAGCGAUUUCUGGAUUGAUCUUCUCGAGCUUUUCGUUGAGGACAUACUCCUUGUCCUCGUAGCGAGCAAUCGUGCAAAUGUAUCUUAUCCAUUCGCUAAAGUUCGUUCCAUCAAAAGUCAGCUUUUGGCAAAGGCUCAUCAAUGUGAAUGAACUAGCAGCAACGUUGUUCGCGUUCGACAUCUACAAAUAGAAAGGACAAAUAUUGAUUAGAAUUUGAAUCCCUAAUAAUCACCCAAUAAGAAAAUUUAGGGCUAGGAUCCAACAACAUUAUUUACAUAUUAGAAAAGGGAUGUCGUAAUCUAACAUGCAAACAAUUUGAAGGUAAGUGAAUGACGAUUCACUAAUUCUCCACCAUGAAAACCUAACCUUAAGUUCUAAGUGUAUUGAGAAUUCCUAGGUUUCGAUGAGAUUCAUUGAACUUUUCAAUGGCAUGUUUAAAUCUCGAUAUGUCCCUCUCGUUUGUGACUGGGAUACCGAGGAUCACAAAGUGGGUGUGAAUAACCAUGCAAAUGUACAUGGUGCCUUCAUUGUAACAAUCGCCUAUUCGAAGUGCCGGUAAACCACACACGCUCCACUAACUUCUUAGCAAGGGUGCAAAGUGUAAUUUCAUGGGAUUGAAUCAAUUCACUUUUCCUAAAGUAACUAGGAUUGGGAAUUUGAAAAACAUGUAGUUACUUUAUAGGUUCAUUAUACUUAUUAAUGAGGAGAUNNNNNNNNNNNNNNNNNNNNNNNNNNNNNNNNNNNNNNNNNNNNNNNNNNNNNNNNNNNNNNNNNNNNNNNNNNNNNNNNNNNNNNNNNNNNNNNNNNNNNNNNNNNNNNNNNNNNNNNNNNNNNNNNNNNNNNNNNNNNNNNNNNNNNNNNNNNNNNNNNNNNNNNNNNNNNNNNNNNNNNNNNNNNNNNNNNNNNNNNNNNNNNNNNNNNNNNNNNNNNNNNNNNNNNNNNNNNNNNNNNNNNNNNNNNNNNAUAUAUAUAUAUAUUAAUCUUGUAAUAUUAUAUUAGUAUAGGGUUGAAUUUUAAACUUGUAAAAUUCUAGGGUUUGAAAUUUAAAUUGUCUAAAUUAAACUUUUAAUCACAAAACAUAAAUUUCAAAACUUGAGGACAAGUUUUAAACUUUUCAAAACAUAAGGGAUCAAAUAACAAAUAAUCCAAAUUAACAUUUAAUCACAUAAUUAUCCAUAUUUGAUUUAUUUAAUUAUUUCUUGCAAAACAAUUUACCAAUUUAAUAAAAUAAUCAAUCAAUUAUCACAUAAGGAAAUUAUUAUUCAAUUUAUUGGUAAAUAUCUUUAAUUAGGUCAAGGAUAUACUCAAAUAUAUAUUAAAAUCGGAUUUAUAUUGACCCAUUAAGAUAAAGGCAAGUUUCCAUAAGAUAAACAGCAAGAAAUCCCGAACUUAGCUCUUUCUGACGCUCGAACUCGCCGAGUACCACAAUGGACUCGCCGAGUACCACCAUGGGACUCGCCGAGUUCAUCAGGCAGAAACACAAAAAUCAAAUUUUGCAAAUAACAAUCAAGCAACUAAUGCAACAAUUCAAUAGAAACCAAUCAAGGCUCUGAUACAACUGAUGGGUUUGAGCCAUAAGAACAUUCCUAUGUGCACAUACAAACCCUAAUGCUUGGAUCUAGGUUUCUCUAAUUGAACAUGCAUUGCAUCCAAGACUUCUAAUGAUAAUUCUAGUAUAAUAACAUAAGAAAUCAGAUUUGGAAGAUUACCUUGAAUCACUUGCUUGAAUCUUCUUGUCCUUGGAGCUUUAGAGUCACAAGUGUCACUCCUCUAAUGGCUUACAAACACCAACUUAGCAAGAGGAUUAUUACAGAGAGAGGGAGGAGGGCAAGAAAUCGGCCAGGGUUUCUUCAAAGGCAAGAGUGCCGAUUUCCUUGACCCCAAGGGUCUAUUUAUCCUAGUGAGGCUCCUAGUGUUUCACCCUUAAACCCUAAUUGGAUAACUUAGGCCCUAAGCAAUCCAAUUUCCUUAUGAUAAGCCUUGGACGAUUUCUAGGUCUAUCCUAACCUUAAAAUCGUACACCCCUUAUCUAUUAAGGAUAAUAGCCCAAAGUACAACUAUCAUACAAUUGACAGUUUAUGCCCCUUUAUUCAAUUAAUCUCUUUAAGUCACCAAAUUAAUUCCUAAUUAAUUUAUGACUUAUAUUAAUCAAAUAACAAUAUAAUUAUUCCCUAUAUUAUUCUCAUAAUAUAUUAAUAAUAUUUCUUCUCUCAUUAUAAAUCAUCCUGUCAAGUUGCUAUGGUGAAGGCAACCCAAAAGGACCAUGCACAACCGGGUCAAAUACUUGCCAAAUAUAGUUGCAACCUUAGACACUAUUCCAACAAAAAUAGGGGUUUCCUGAGAUAACGAGCUGUUCCUAAUCAAAUUGUAGAAUAACGAAUAACUAACUCACAUAUAAGAAAAUAUGAGAUUUUCUUGGAUAAUGACUUUUUCAGAAAAACCAAAGGAAACCUAUUCUUUUACAAAAAUAAACCGCUUAUGAACUCACCAGCUUUAUGCUGAUUUUCAAAUUGCUGGUAUUCUCAUAUCCACAUUAGACAGGUACACAACUAUCUUUUGGAGAAGACGGAGCAUACAGAAGACUCGUCUUAACUUUUGUUCAUAUGAUAUAUAUAUGUAUAACUUUUGUAACAUUUUGCUUUCAAACAAAUGUAAAUAUUCAUAUGUAAUGUAAUGUUUUGUGCCUACUAUGCUUACUAUGUACAUUGGUUGCGAUACUUCAUGACGUCCUCCGUCCCGGAACGUUUUCGCCAUCGGUUUCGGGGUGUGACAAAUAAAUACAAAAAUGUAUAAAUAAAAAAUAUAAACAACAAUAUACUUAAAUCACAGUUUUAUUUUAAAGCCUUCAUUUUGUUUUAUCAUUUACUAUUUAAAUUAUAGUUUUAUUAGGUAUCAUACUAUUUAUAUUAUUCUAUUUAUAUUAUUAGUAUAUAUAUAUAUAUAUAUAUAUAUAUAUAUAUGAUAAGGGUGUUUUAGUAAUUUAGUUAAGUAAAUUAAUUAUUAUAUAUUUUAAAUUCAUAUAUAAUUAAUUUUGAAGAAUACGGUUAUAUAUGAUUGGGUUAAUCAUUCUGGACCAAGUAUAUAAUGUAUAAUUUACUUCAUCAGUUCAUCCGUUAAAUAAGGUUCUAUAUAACCCAAUUCUUUAAGAAUGCAUCAUUUUCAACCAUUUUAUUUUGAAGAACAUGCUUACAUAUAAAUCUUAGUCAUUCUUAAAGAAUUCAAAGUAAAACAUGAUCAUCCUAUUCUCAUUUUCAACUAUUUAUAGUUAGUCAUUCUCUUAAAAUUCUUUCAAUUAAUAGUCAUUCUCUUAAAAUUCUUUCAAUUAAUUGCAAAAUUCAUAUGUAAUUCUUUAAGAACACAUAUUAAAAACCUAUUUUUAACUAUUACAUUCUUAAAUAAUAUGGCUACUAACAAGACAUUCGUUAUACUCUUAAAGAAUAUAAACAAAAACCAUUUUUUAUGUGACGAUUAAUUAUGGUCACUGAUAACCAAAACGUUGAUCAUGAAUACAUAAUUCUUUAAGAAUAUAAACUAGAGAAAUAUUUUUAACCUUUUCGUUCUUAAAUAAUAAUUGUCGCAUUCAUAAAGAAUACAAAUUAACAAACCAUUUUUUGUUAUGUUUCUACAAUUACUCAAACUUUUCGUUUAUGAAAAAUCAUUAGUAAUUGUGGUAACGACAAAAAUGAUUUAAUAAGAAUGGAGGUUAUGAAAUGAAAUCCUUUACUAUUAGUAAUUUAUUAAAUUGUUGUUGAGCAAAUUGUCAUAUUUACCCAUAUCAAUUAUUUUAAAAUAUAAAAUAAUUAAUUUCUUUCUUAUUACCAUCAUGUCAUUGUCAUCUUAACCACCAUUUUUUUUAAUCUAAUGGACAAGAAUCGGUCAUACAAUCAUAUAGUUUUUACAAUUCAUAUUUAAUCCUAACCCUAUAUAUAUAUAUAUANNNNNNNNNNNNNNNNNNNNNNNNNNNNNNNNNNNNNNNNNNNNNNNNNNNNNNNNNNNNNNNNNNNNNNNNNNNNNNNNNNNNNNNNNNNNNNNNNNNNNNNNNNNNNNNNNNNNNNNNNNNNNNNNNNNNNNNNNNNNNNNNNNNNNNNNNNNNNNNNNNNNNNNNNNNNNNNNNNNNNNNNNNNNNNNNNNNNNNNNNNNNNNNNNNNNNNNNNNNNNNNNNNNNNNNNNNNNNNNNNNNNNNNNNNNNNNNNNNNNNNNNNNNNNNNNNNNNNNNNNNNNNNNNNNNNNNNNNNNNNNNNNNNNNNNNNNUAUAUAUAGUACAACUAAAAGGGCCAAACAACGGGGAUCAAAUUGACUAAAUGGGCUAUACACUAAUUUGAAUUAUCAACCUUUACAAGGUUUGACUUAGACCCAUGUAACAUAUUUCUUUAAUUUCAACAAUACCAUCUUAUUCGACUUCUUUCUUCUUGUCUGCAAUUUCGAAGGUUGUGUUUAAUCAAUCAAUAAAUUACUCUUUCAACUCAUCUUCUUGUGUUUCAACUAGCUUAUUUGGGUAUCCAUGUUGGGGUUUGAUGCACUGUAAAACAAAUAAAGAAAACAUAUAAUGAAACCGAAACAAAAUUUCCAAAGUUUUAACCCCAAUAGACAACCUAGUGGUGAUCACUUGGGGUUAAACACUUACAAAUGAGUGGAUCUCAGAUUAGAAUCCUACAAUCUUCAACUUUGGGUGACUUAUAGUUAAUAAAAACUACUUACUAUCUUUUGAAACUCUUGCGUAUAACACCGAACAAAGGUUUUAGAUUAUUCACAUAAUUAUGCUACUACAAAGUUAAUAAAAAAUAUUAUAGGCUUAAUUUAUAAAGACCUUUCUCUCUCCUUUUUUGUUUAUCUCUUGAAUGCAUAAACUUUAUACUUAGUUAUUUUACUUAACAUAAAUGUUUCUUCAAAAAAUGUUUAAAAUAACAUAUUACACAUGUGCAAAGUACUCAACUUUUUACAAAUUAUACUUUCAAGAUAAAAGUUAUUUUGCGAAACAUGUAAUUUUUGCAAAUCAAAUUUCUACAAAAAAAAGGAUGGUGUUCUAUCACCAAAUGACUGCCGGUUUAUGUAACUAUCACAUUGACUAAGCAUAUAAUCAGGGCCGGUCCUGAAAAAUGAAAUAUUCUUAAAGGCUCAGGACGAACAAGAAAAAAAUGGUCCUUAUCUUUAUUAUAAUUUUGUAUUUUUAAAUAAAAAUAUAUAAUGAAAAAAAUUGGGCCCUAUGCAGUUGUCCACUUUACCCCCCUCUAAGCCCCCAUGCAUAUAAUUAAGAUGAACACUCGGUAAAAACAAAAAAAUAUGAUUUUUUUGCAAAAACCCACAAACCAUAUAGCACUAUGUUAAAUAAUUUAAACAUGAAAAAAAUUGUGAAAUUUAACAUUUUGCAAAAUGAUUUAUGAAUUAUGCUUAUUUUGGAAAAUGAAAUUAUAUAUAUAUAUAUAUAUAUAUAUAUAUANUUUGCUAUAAUUAAGGGAGAGGAAAUUAUACUUCAUCUCAAAUCUAAAAGCUUAGAUUGAUGUUUUAAUCGUAUUUAGUCAAGGGUAUAUAUGUAUAUAUAUAUAUAUAUAUAUAUAUAUAUAUGUGUGUGUGUGUGUGUGAAUUCCUUAAUGUAUGAAACAAAAUAAAACUGAAUUUUUCAAUAAAAACAAAAAAGAAAAUGUUGGUUUUGUAAAAUGGUUUGGUCUUUUCAAAUUCAAAAUUUAUGUUUAGUUUUUUUGGUCAUGUUUCGGGUCUUUUUUGCAAUUUUAGUUUUUGGCUUUCUCGCAAAUUCUGUUAACUUUUAAUAAGUUUGAUAUGAAAGUAUGUUAUAAUGGUUCCGUAAAGAUAUUUAUGUUGUAUAUUAAAGUUUAAACAUUAAACAUGACAUUGAGAGUUAAUGAUAGAACCUUACAACUCAACAAUUUUUUCCAUGAAAACAAGAAACAAAACCAACAAAUUGAUGGUUUAGUAUUUUCAAAAUUAUAAAACCGAAAUUUUCGGUUUGUUUUUGAUUUUAAUCAAAAUUGAAACAUUUUCAUUCCCUGGUAGUUAACAAACUAUGAUCUAUGGAGUUUGUUUUUGAUUUUAAUCAAAAUUGAAACAUUUUCAUUUUUUGCUAGUUAACAAAUUAUGAUCUAUGGUCAGAAAUUAUGUUGUAUUAAAAAACAUGUUUUUUUAAUGAUGGUUUUUGAAGAAAAAUAAUUACGAAUGAUUUUUUUGAAAUUUAUUAGAAAUCUUAAUGGUUUAUUUGAAAAAAGAAAAAUAAAACAAUGAAUUUUUAGAUAAAAGCUUGAAAAUUCAAUGAUUUUUUUUCUUUCAAAAGCCGGGUUAGUAAAAGAUCCAGAAGGUUUGAUCGGGUCACCAUUUAAGUUUCCCCUUUUCUCUUCACGACACGCGCGCACACACAUACACAUACACAUACACACCCUAGAAAUUACAGCGACAAAUCUCCAGGAUUCGGAGCUCACUAACAAAGGAUUCCCUGUAAGUCAAAUGUGUAUGAACUCUUCUCUCUCCAUUUCAAUUUCAUUUCAGUCUCUCGAAUUUCGCUUGUUUUAGGUGUGUGUUUUCUUCUCAAAGAUGUUCGUUUUGAUACGGCCGCUAGUUCCACCUAAUUUAAACCUAGUUUUAUGCUAUACAUAUGUCUCUUUAUACUUCUUCUUACGAAUUCACAUAUAUUCUGAGCGAUGAACGCUGCGAGGACAUCAGUUAUUAUACAUUACACCGGAAACAAAAACUCGGUUGUAAUCGUUGAAAAGAUGGGGUGAUUUUGCUGUGGAAAUCCAAAUACGUAUGAUAAUCUUUUCGUUUAUUCUUGUUGAAUCCUUUUCCUUUUUCUUUUCUGACUUCGCGAGUCGUAAUUCACUGUUCACUAGAUGGAUGAAUGUUUGGGGACUCGAUUUUAUCGCUUCGAAACAGAAUUCGAGCAUUUUAAUGAGCUUUGAUCUUGAUUUCAUAUUUCGAAGUUAAAUGCUCCAAACACCAAUUCUCAUAAACGACUUGUGUGAAAUUAGGGUUUAUUUUUGGGUGAGUCCUUAUUUCUGUAUUUAUUGGUUCCCACAUCUGUUUCUUCAUUUAUGCCCUGACACCAGGAAGUUAAUUUUGAUAUAUGCUAAAUUUGGAUUUUAUAUGGUGCUUAUAUUUUUUUUAAAUACAUAUUUAAGAAAUUCAUUAAGUUAUUUUCUAAAUAAACAGUUGAAUUCAAUAAAAAAUAAAACAGAAGGGUAAAAUGGCCAUUUUAAUAAUUCAGCACAACAAUUCAGAUGUCCCAACCAAACAAAACAGCAUGUUAAAAAUUCAGACCCUCUUAGAAAUUCAGAUCUUAAAAAUUCAGAUCCUUAGCCAUAUAAAGAUUUAUAUGUUAUUAGCUACAUAUUAUUUGAAUGUGUUGUUUUGGUUUAGUAUUCAUACAUGAUACAUGUAUCUUAAUGCUAAAUUGUUAAUCACUUAAUACUUUUAAAAAUAAUUAAAGUGGUAACAAUAAAUUCUUAUACAUUGCAGUCCUUACUUAAUGUGCACUGAAUGACUUUCUGGCAUUGUUUAAGUAACAGGUAAGCUGAUUAAAUGAUGGAGCGACAAAGGGACAGAGAUGAAGAUGAUAAAUAUAAGAGAAGAAGAGAUGAUGAUAGAUACAGGAGUGAAAGAGACAGUCAAGAUAGGAGGAGGCUCCUCAACAAUAAGAGUGAUGAAGAAGAUGCAGAUGGUAGGAGGGGACGAGAUAGGAACAAGGAAAUUGUUAAUGAUAGGAACAGGAAUAGGAGUGAUGAUGAAGAUGCAAAUGAUAGGAGGAGAAGAGAUAGGAGGCGUGGUGAUGAUUAUGCUAAUGAUAGGAGGAGGAGGAGAAGAGAUGGAUGGAGUGACAAUGAAGAUAAAAAUGAUAAAAGGAGAGACAAAAAGAAAGAUAAAGGUAGGGAUGAGGAAGAUGAUAAUGACAGGAGAAGAGAUGAUGAUGAAGAUGGUAAUGAUAGGAGGAACAAGGAAAGGAAUGAAGAUAGGAGGAAAAGAGGUAGGAGCAAGGACAUAAGGAGUGAUGAUGAAGAUGGAAAUGAUAAGAACAACAGAAACAAUAAAAGAAUUGAUGAACAUGAUCAAAGUGAUGAAGAAGUUGGUGAAAUCAGGAAAAAGAAUGAGGACAUAAGUGAUGAAGAAGAUGGUGAGAUCAGGAAAAGUGGUAGAAAAGGGAAGUAUGAGGAUACGAGUGAUAGGGAAAUUGGUGAAAUCAGGAAGAGAGGGAGAAAGGGUAAGGAUAAAAGGAGUGAUGAUGAAGAUGAUAAAUACAAAAGGAGAAGGAAUAGGAACAAAGAUGAAGAUUAUAAAAGGGACAGAAAGAGGAAUGGUGAUCAUGAAGAUAGAAGAAGAACUGAUGAUGAUGAUGAUGAUGUGUCAAAGCGUAAAAGCGAUCAAAAUGGGGAUAAAGAAAAACCGGAUGAAGGCCCAAGAUUCCAAAAGCUGGCUGAUUUGCAAGAAAGCAUGACUAAUUUAGGAAAGNNNNN
rnacentral:lncRNA from 1 species